UGGAUGAUGUGAUUAAUUCGAUGCAACGCGAAAACCUUACCUACCCUUGACAUGUCCGGAAUCCCGAAGAGAUUUGGGAGUGCUCGCAAGAGAACCGGAACACAGGUGCUGCAUGGCUGUCGUCAGCUCGUGUCGUGAGAUGUUGGGUUAAGUCCCGCAACGAGCGCAACCCUUGUCAUUAGUUGCCAUCAUUUGGUUGGGCACUCUAAUGAGACUGCCGGUGACAAACCGGAGGAAGGUGGGGAUGACGUCAAGUCCUCAUGGCCCUUAUGGGUAGGGCUUCACACGUCAUACAAUGGUCGGUACAGAGGGUUGCCAACCCGCGAGGGGGAGCUAAUCCCACAAAGCCGAUCGUAGUCCGGAUCGCAGUCUGCAACUCGACUGCGUGAAGUCGGAAUCGCUAGUAAUCGUGGAUCAGCAUGUCACGGUGAAUACGUUCCCGGGUCUU
rnacentral:rRNA from 1 species